rnacentral:rRNA from 1 species
GGCCUACGGGAGGCAGCAGUGGGGAAUUUUGGACAAUGGGCGCAAGCCUGAUCCAGCUAUUCCGCGUGUGGGAUGAAGGCCCUCGGGUUGUAAACCACUUUUGUAGAGAACGAAAAGACACCUUCGAAUAAAGGGUGUUGCUGACGGUACUCUAAGAAUAAGCACCGGCUAACUACGUGCCAGCAGCCGCGGUAAUACGUAGGGUGCGAGCGUUAAUCGGAAUUACUGGGCGUAAAGCGAGUGCAGGCGGUUCAAUAAGUCUGAUGUGAAAGCCUUCGGCUCAACCGGAGAAUU